UCCCCUUGCCUUCUCUCUCUUACUUUCCCCAAUUUUGGCCAUUGACGACGACUUCCCAAAGCUUCGACUCCAGCCGCUCCAGCCUGUGAUUCCUGUUCCGUCGUUCAUCCUCACCGCCAGACACCGGUGCCCUCCUCCCGUCGGGACGGCCUCGACGACUCCGCGCGCGGAGGCUUUCCCUGGUCGCCUAGGCCGACUCUGGUCGUCCCCGUACAGGCUCUGCUCGGCGAGAUCUGCUCCUCGAGCUCAUCCCAUAGGUCCGCCGCCCCUGGGCGACCUCCCACAUCGGCCCUGCAUAGGCUUUGCUCGGGGAGAGGUUCUUCUCGAGCUCAUCCCAGAUGUACGCCGCCCCUUGAUGCUGGCCGUCCAGCAGCAUCCGUACAUGGAAGUUCAGAUCUCAAAAGAGUGCUCGACGCCGCCCACCCUGAUAGCGGCCAUGUCGGGGCUGGAGGUCAAGCGUGAGGAUGAUGAUUUGGCGGAGCAGGUAAACAUUUCAUCUUUGUUUGCAUUUCAAGGUCGAAUUAUUUGAGCUGGGAGCUUGAACAAUUCAUAUGAUGAUUCUACUUGUGUUAAUAAGAAAUGCCAUUCUACUUGCCAAGAGGAAAAAAACUUCAUAGUUUACAGGGCUUAACAAUUAGCUACAUGGUAAAGUCGUUGAUUUAAUUCUUUCCCAUAAUAGGGACUAAGUGAUAAUUUAGAGAGUGGUUUGACACAGCCUUUGCUCAUAGAGACAAAAGAGUGGCAAGUUGACAAUGCAGAGGAUAAUGAUGGUUGCUGGUCCAUACAGAUUCCUCAUGCCACAUGUGAAGGUUUUCUCGUAAUCUCUUGAAUGUGCUUAUUUUUUGUUGCUGAAUGCAUAACCUUCAUCUGCAUUGGUUCUUUUCACAAAUAUAUCAGUUUCAGUUCUUCAACUUCAUUCUCUAGUCUGCAAUGGCCAUUUUUCUUAUCGAAUGACAAAUUUAUUGCACACAGUUGUACAUAAAAUAAUUUAGCAUUACUAUCAUCUUGUAAUACAGAACGGGAAGUUUUGGAACCUAUAAAUUGAUGAAAAAUUGUAACAAUUAUUAUUGUAAUGAAUCUAUAAAUAAAAUUUAAAAAAUAAUAUUGUAAUGCUUAAUCAUCUUCUGGUUGUUGAGCGGAACGCUGUUGAUGAUUACUCCACAACUGUCGAGCAAUGCCUGCACGAACUCUCUCACCAGCAGCUCGUUCAUCUUCUCUUGCUUGCCCUCUAAUUUGCUGAUCACCAUGGUCAACAUGUUGUUGUGCUUCCCCAUGCUCAUAAAGCUCGAACAACUCAUCAUGAUGAUUAACCUUCCGGAUGAAGUUGUGGAUAAUACAACAAGCCAUAACAAUUUUGACUUGUGUUUUAUAUGGAUAAGGAAUUCCUCCUUUCCUACUUAAAAUUGGAAAGCGAGCUUUUAGAACACCAAAAGUUCGCUCAACAACAUUUCGUAGUUGUGCGUGCAGAUGAUUGAACAUAUCUUUCUCACUAGUAUAUCGUCGAUUACUUCCACGAAAAGAAGCAAUAUGAUAACGAUCUCCAUGGUACGGGGCAAUAAAUUUUGGAGUAUUUGCAUAUCCAGAAUCAACAAGAUAAAAUUUACCUGCACGUAAGGUUUGAUAGCACGGUCAUAAUCUUUAUGUAAUAAGAUUAAUCAAUAUAUAGUUCAUAUGUUUGAACUUUUACCUUCAGGAACAACAAAACCCCCACUGGUAACAGCCCAUCUUAGAACUGCUUGAUCUGACGCAGAACCUUCCCAUCCAGUAGCGACAUAUGAGAAUGUCAUGUCAAAUGACACUGCUGCCAUUACAUUUUGAGAGGGGUAACCAUGCCUAUUUCUAUAAGGAGUUUUGCUUAUCUAGCCUGAUUUUUGCCUCAAUGUGUGUCCCAUCAAUUGCUCCUAGGCAGUUCUGUUGGGAUUUUUGUUAGUCAAACAAUGAAGUUUAAGUUUCCAUGACAUAGUAUUAAAUCAUAUUUAAAAGUAACAUGUGUUUGCGAUAGGAAAAUACCUUGAAAUAUGGGUAGAACCUUGCAUCACCCAAUAUUUUUGCUGGGAUUUCAUUCCUUGGAUCUGUUUGCUUGAACCAUCUUUCCCUUUGCUAGAUACAGCACCAACUCCAGAUGCCGUUGAACUAGCACAUAUUUGUUGAAGAUCUUCCCAACUAGGCCACACCUUUUCUCGAUAUUCUUGGAGUGACUUAUGCUUCUGCAAGUUGGUAAUUUUUUAUUAAUAAAUACAAUAUACCAAUUUUAUAUGAAUCCUACUCGCACAAACUUACCUCAAUUAGUUCCUCCCAAGUUUCUUCUAAAGCUUUUAUCAUUUUGUCAUCGUCGUCCCAACCAAAUCCCGUCAGUUUAAGAAGUCUAUCCAUGGCAGCAUAGCAACUCCUAUAGUACUUAUGGCGAUUUUUCAAUUGUUGUAAUUCAAGUUUGUCUACUCUUGAAUCAUUGAAUUGUUCUAAGAUAUCACGCCAUGCUUUCUUUGUGUAACCUGUUCCUUCUUUCCCUCCGUGUAAAGUUUGAUCUUUCAGUAUAGUGAGAAGUAUUUUGUCCUCCGAAGAUUUCCAUACAUGCCUCUUUUUAUCUGGGUUUUCUUUCCUAUUUUUUGGUCCUUCUGAUCAUCCAUAUUUAUCUACAAGAAAAUAAAAAAUUUAAAUGAGUAUGUGAUUGACAAACUUAAUUUCUCUUGACAUUUCAAAACCUCCAAUUUAAAGUUGUACUUACAACAAGCCAUAUUGCAAAGUGAGUUAUUUGGUUGAGAAGAACACUGUUAAGUGGAAGAAAUGAACAUGAUAAUAAUAUUUCAACUGCAUUCGUGUGAUCUCUUGGCGUGUAUUCUUCUGAUUGCAGUAGACAAAUGGGGGUCUAGGACUGAGCUAAUCUUUAAUUUUUACCUAUGACAACACUUACUACUAAUUGUUUGAUUUCUACGUGUAUUCCUAUGUUCUUUUCACAAUGCAGGUCGACAAAGGAACUGAUGGCUUGUAUUUCAGUGAUCUACUGUUGGCUUACCAUUUGUUUUUAUAGAGGUAAAGCUGUAUGUGCAUGUUGAAUUUAAAUUUGAGGGCCCCUUAUAUCCAGGAGUACACGAUUGGCCUACAUACUAGACUAUGAUACAUGUGUAUACAAUUUAGACUACAACACAAACAUACAUACUUAUAUCGCACAGUUCAGAUUGGCCUAGUGCCUAUUAAUACCAUAUAAAUAUAUAAUUAGAGUUAGCGUGCCAUUUACUCUUUUUUCAUAUCUGGCAUUUACCUGGUUUCCAUGUACAUCAGCAAGUAACUAGUGUAGUGGGUUUCUUUUAUAAUCAAACAGAGGAGUGUUUCCAAUUAGAGAGAGGAAGGGACAAAUUGCCAAGUUGGUGGUUCUAGUUUCAUCUACGAAUUGGCUAUCUCAGAUUACCGGAGUUUUUUUCUUUCUGCAAAAUGAGCUUCAUUGCCAAAAAAAUGAAUCGAUGAACAAUACCAUAAAUUUGUAGAUCUACGUACGAAUUUGUUGAUCAGGAUGAUUGAUCGAUGAACAAUAUCAUGAAAUGUGUACAUCUACAACUCAUAUGGACCAAUUUGUUGAUCAAGAUGAUUGAUCGAUGAACAAUACCAUGAAAUUUGUACAUCUACAACUUAUAUGGACUAAUUUGUUGAUCUGGAUGAUUGAUCAAUGGACAAUAUCAUGAAAUAUGUACAUCGACUACAACUUAUAUUGACAGGAUGAUUGAUCUUACCAGGGUCGUGCAACUUGAUUGAAGAUGGGAAGAUGAUGAGAACCGCCUGAUGAAGAAGCUGCUGAGAACCAGCGCCGGCGUCUCCCAGCCAGCGCCUGUGAAUGGAAUUGACGGCCAGCCAGUUUUAUUAGCGAUGGGGCCUGUAUAUAAGCAAUGAAAAAGGCGCGAGGGCGAGCAGCAAAACGCAGAACUGGCGCCAGAAAAGUUGUUGAGAAGCGAGCGGGCGGGAAAAAGUUGUUGCAAUCACGCAUAUAGCAAACGCGUUUGUGAAAAAACGGAUAAAGCUCGUUUUUCUAUAAGCCCGAAAUCUUGGGUUGUACAGUUCCAAGUUUCGUGGAUUUGUUAUAGUAGCCAAAUGAGAUUUUGUUCGGUUGAACCGUUUUCCUGGUUUAUAAAGUACGGAUUUUAUAUAUAUCUUCU
rnacentral:lncRNA from 1 species